GCCUUCGUGGUGUAGUGGUUAGCACGCUCGACGCGUAACCGAGAGGUCCGUGGUUCGAUUCCCGAUGAAAGCU
rnacentral:tRNA from 1 species